rnacentral:lncRNA from 1 species
GGGUUUAAACCCUAAUGCUGGCUGAAAUGGAAAAAGUUCAGUUUAGGGUUUAAAACCCUAAUGCUGACUAAAGGGAAAAUUCAGUUUAGGGUUUAAAACCCUAAUGUCGAUUGCAUGGAAAAGCUCAGUUUAGGGUUUAAAACCCUAAUGCUGGCUGAAUGGAAAAAGUUCAGUUUAGGGUUUAAAACCCUAAUGCUGACUAAAAUGGAAAAAGUUCAGUUUAGGGUUUAAAACCCUAAUGCUGACUAAAAGGAAAAUUCAGUUUAGGGUUUAAAACCCUAAUGUUGAUUGCAUGGAAAAGCUCAGUUUAGGGUUUAAAACCCUAAUGCUGACUAAAAGGAAAAUUCAGUUUAGGGUUUAAAACCCUAAUGCUGAUUGCAUGGAAAAGCUCAGUUUAGGGUUUAAAACCCUAAUGCUGGCUGAAUGGAAAAGCUCAGUUUAGGGUUUAAAACCCUAAUGCUGGCUGAAAUGGAAAAAGUUC